UGCCGGAUAGUAUAGUGGUCUGUACACACGCCUGAUAAGCGUUAGGUGAAAGUUCGAUUCUUUCUCUGGCAACCA
rnacentral:tRNA from 2 species